rnacentral:pre_miRNA from 1 species
UUGACAGAAGAUAGAGAGCACAGAUGGUGAAAUGCAUGGAAGACAAUGGCAUCUCAUUCCUUUGUGCUCUCUAUUCUUCUGUCAU